AACGAUUUGCUUUUUUAUUGUUCAAGGUCCACAGCGGGACGUUUACGUUCUUAACCGUUUUUACGUGUGCAGCUCAGUGGCAUCGAGUGAAUCCACGCUGUCGUGCGGCCAUCGUCACCGUCCGCCUCCAGAACUUUCUCAUCCUCCCCAACUGAAACUCUGUCCCCGUCAAACAGUGUCACCCACGCCCUUUCCUGGUGCCCGUCGUUCUGUUUCUCCAUCUUUCUGGAUUUGUCUUCUUCGGGUGCUUUACGAAAGUGGGAUCAGACGACAUUCGUCCUUUCGUACCUUCGAGGUUCGUCCGGGCUGGAGCACGCGUCAGAAGCCUUCCUUUUUAAGGCUGAACGUACUCCGUUUUAUGGAUACGCCACAUUUGGAUGACCCAGACGGAACAAUGAGACUGAGAGAGGGGAUGUGGCUGGCUCAGGGUCGCUCAGAGAGGGGACAUGGCUGGCCCGGGGUCGCCCAGCUGGCAGGUGCAGGGAGAAGCAUGCCAACGCCAGCACUAUGUGAAACUCUGCUUCAUGGUCAGAAUCUUCGAUUGUCUCCGGAGGCGAUUUGAAGAGUCAGAUCCAUUUGAGCUCUGA